GACGAACGCUGGCGGCGUGCUUAACACAUGCAAGUCGAACGAAGAGCGACGGAAGCUUGCUUCUAUCAAUCUUAGUGGCGAACGGGUGAGUAACGCGUAAUCAACCUGCCCUUCAGAGGGGGACAACAGUUGGAAACGACUGCUAAUACCGCAUACGAUCUAAUCUCGGCAUCGAGGAUGGAUGAAAGGUGGCCUCUACAUGUAAGCUAUCACUGAAGGAGGGGAUUGCGUCUGAUUAGCUAGUUGGAGGGGUAACGGCCCACCAAGGCGAUGAUCAGUAGCCGGUCUGAGAGGAUGAACGGCCACAUUGGGACUGAGACACGGCCCAGACUCCUACGGGAGGCAGCAGUGGGGAAUCUUCCGCAAUGGACGAAAGUCUGACGGAGCAACGCCGCGUGAGUGAUGACGGCCUUCGGGUUGUAAAGCUCUGUUAAUCGGGACGAAGGGCCUUCUUGCGAAUAGUGAGAAGGAUUGACGGUACCGGAAGAGAAAGCCACGGCUAACUACGUG
rnacentral:rRNA from 1 species